ensembl:snoRNA
UGCUGCAGCCUGUCUGUGAAGUGGGCACAGCUGAUCCUGGUGUCCAGACGGGAAAUUGUGGCUGAAAGGAUGACAGGCUUUGCUUCCAUCACUGUGGAUCAUUUCAGUGGUGACAAUGAGACCUAUAAUACUU